rnacentral:rRNA from 1 species
GUCUAUGGACAUGCCACCCUGAACAAGAGCCCGAUGUCUGAUCUCGGGCGCUAAGCAGGGUCAGGCCGGUUAGUACUUGGAUGGGAGACCACCACCUAGGAAGACCAGGUGCUGUAGGUA